AUUGAACGCUGGCGGCAUGCCUUACACAUGCAAGUCGAACGGUAACAGGUUAAGCUGACGAGUGGCGAACGGGUGAGUAAUGUAUCGGAACGUGCCCAGUCGUGGGGGAUAACUGCUCGCAAGAGCAGCUAAUACCGCAUACGACCUGAGGGUGAAAGCGGGGGAUCGCAAGACCUCGCGCGAUUGGAGCGGCCGAUAUCAGAUUAGGUAGUUGGUGAGGUAAAGGCUCACCAAGCCGACGAUCUGUAGCUGGUCUGAGAGGACGACCAGCCACACUGGGACUGAGACACGGCCCAGACUCCUACGGGAGGCAGCAGUGGGGAAUAUUGGACAAUGGGCGCAAGCCUGAUCCAGCCAUGCCGCGUGCGGGAAGAAGGCCUUCGGGUUGUAAACCGCUUUUGUCAGGGAAGAAAAGGUUCUGGCUAAUACCUGGGACUCAUGACGGUACCUGAAGAAUAAGCGCCGGCUAACUACGUG
rnacentral:rRNA from 1 species